CCCCGUAGUCGAAAUGCGUGUUCUGGCGUGGAGAGUAUCCCAAGUAGCACGGGGCCCGUGAAAUCCCGUGUGAAUCUGUCAGGACCACCUGAUAAGCCUAAAUACUCCCAGAUGACCGAUAGCGGACAAGUACCGUGAGGGAAAGGUGAAAAGUACCCCGGGAGGGGAGUGAAAUAGUACCUGAAACCGUUUGCUUACAAACCGUUGGAGCACCCCUGGUAGGUGUGACAGCGUGCCUUUUGAAGAAUGAGCCUGCGAGUUAGCGAUAUGUGGCGAGGUUAACCCGUGUGGGGUAGCCGUAGCG
rnacentral:rRNA from 1 species